rnacentral:rRNA from 1 species
CUAGGGGAGCGAACAGGAUUAGAUACCCUGGUAGUCUUAGCUGUAAACGAUGGACACUAGGUGUGGGGAGUUAUCGACGCUCUCCGUGCCGAAGCAAACGCAUUAAGUGUCCCGCCUGGGGAGUACGGUCGCAAGACUAAAACUCAAAAGAAUUGACGGGGGCCCGCACAAGCGGCGGAGCAUGUGGCUUAACUCGACGCAACGCGAAGAACCUUACCAAGGUUUGACACCAUAUUGAAGUUAGUAGAAAUAUUAACGCCCGCAAGGGCAGUAUGACAGGUGGUGCAUGGUUGUCGUCAGCUCGUGUCGUGAGAUGUUGGGUUAAGUCCCGCAACGAGCGCAACCCUCGUCCCAUGUUGCCAUCAGGUUAAGCUGGGCACUCUUGGGAUACUGCCAGUGUAAAACUGGAGGAAGGUGGGGAUGACGUCAAAUCAUCAUGCCCUUUAUAUCUUGGGCUGCACACGUGCUACAAUGGCCUGUACAAAGAGCUGCGAUACCGCGAGGUGGAGCGAAUCUCAAAAAACAGGUCUAAGUCCAGAUUGAAGGCUGAAACUCGCCUUCAUGAAGUCGGAGUCGCUAGUAAUCGUGGAUCAGCACGCCACGGUGAAUACGUUCCCGGGCCUUGUACACACCGCCCGUCACACCACGAAAAUCGGAUACACCCGAAGCCAGUGGGCUAACCCGCAAGGGAGGCAGCUGUCGAAGGUGGAGUCGGUGAUU